GUGCUCACUUUGGCAGCACAUAUACUAAAAUUGGAACGAUACAGAGAAGAUUAGCAUGGUCCCUGUGCAAGAUGACAUGCAAAUUUGUGAAGCAUUCCAUAUUAAA
rnacentral:snRNA from 1 species